rnacentral:rRNA from 1 species
GCAUAUCAAUAAGCGGAGGAAAAGAAACCAACAGGGAUUGCCCUAGUAACGGCGAAGUGAAGCGGCAACAGCUCAAAUUUGAAAUCUGGCGUCUUUGGCGUCCGAGUUGUAAUUUGCAGAGGGCGCUUUGGCAUUGGCAGCGGUCCAAGUUCCUUGGAACAGGACGUCACAGAGGGUGAGAAUCCCGUACGUGGUCGCUAGCCUUUACCGUGUAAAGCCCCUUCGACGAGUCGAGUUGUUUGGGAAUGCAGCUCUAAAUGGGAGGUAAAUUUCUUCUAAAGCUAAAUACUGGCCAGAGACCGAUAGCGCACAAGUAGAGUGAUCGAAAGAUGAAAAGCACUUUGGAAAGAGAGUUAAAAAGCACGUGAAAUUGUUGAAAGGGAAGCGCUUGCAGCCAGACUUGCCUGUAGUUGCUCAUCCGGGUUUUUACCCGGUGCACUCUUCUAUAGGCAGGCCAGCAUCAGUUUGGGCGGUUGGAUAAAGGUCUCUGUCACGUACCUCCUCUCGGGGAGAACUUAUAGGGGAGACGUAAUGCAACCAGCCUGGACUGAGGUCCGCGCAUCUGCUAGGAUGCUGGCGUAAUGGCUGUAAGCGGCCCGUCUUGAAACACGGACCAAGGAGUCUAACAUCUAUGCGAGUGUUUGGGUGUCAAGCCCGAGCGCGUAAUGAAAGUGAACGGAGGUGGGAACCUUUCGGGGUGCACCAUCGACCGAUCCUGAUGUCUUCGGAUGGAUUUGAGUAAGAGCAUAGCUGUUGGGACCCGAAAGAUGGUGAACUAUGCUUGAAUAGGGUGAAGCCAGAGGAAACUACUGGUGGAGGCUCGCAGCGGUUCUGACGUGCAAAUCGAUCGUCAAAUUUGGGCAUAGGGGCGAAAGACUAAUCGAACUAUCUAGUAGCUGGUUCCUGCCGA